CCUACGGGAGGCUGCAGUGGGGGAUAUUGCACAAUGGGGGAAACCCUGAUGCAGCGAUGCCGCGUGAGUGAAGAAGUAUUUCGGUAUGUAAAGCACUAUCAGCGGGGCAGAAAAUGACAGUACCGGACCAAUAAGCCACGGCUAACUACGUACCAGCAGCCGCGGUAAUACGGAGGGGGCAAGAGGUAACCGGAUGUGCUGGGUGUAAAGGGAGCGUAGACGGUUAUGUAAGUCUGGAGUGAAAGCCCGGGGCCCAACCCCGGGACUGAUUUGGAAGCUGUGUAACUGGAGUACAGGAGGGGCAGGUGGAAUUCCUGGUGUAGCGGUGAAAUGCGUAGAGAUCAGGAGGAACACCGGCGGCGAAGGCGGCCUGCUGGACUGAAACUGACGUUGAGGCUCGAAAGCGUGGGGAGCAAACAGGAUUAGAUACCCCUGUAGUC
rnacentral:rRNA from 1 species